GAUGAACGCUGGCGGCGUGCCUAAUACAUGCAAGUCGAGCGAACAGACGAGGAGCUUGCUCCUCUGACGUUAGCGGCGGACGGGUGAGUAACACGUGGAUAACCUACCUAUAAGACUGAGAUAACUUCGGGAAACCGGAGCUAAUACCGGAUAAUAUAUUGAACCGCAUGGUUCAAUAGUGAAAGACGGUUUUGCUGUCACUUAUAGAUGGAUCCGCGCCGCAUUAGCUAGUUGGUAAGGUAACGGCUUACCAAGGCAACGAUGCGUAGCCGACCUGAGAGGGUGAUCGGCCACACUGGAACUGAGACACGGUCCAGACUCCUACGGGAGGCAGCAGUAGGGAAUCUUCCGCAAUGGGCGAAAGCCUGACGGAGCAACGCCGCGUGAGUGAUGAAGGUCUUCGGAUCGUAAAACUCUGUUAUUAGGAAAGAACAAAUGUGUAAGUAACUAUGCACGUCUUGACGGUACCUAAUCAGAAAGCCACGGCUAACUACGUG
rnacentral:rRNA from 1 species